UCGCAAGCACCAGGGAGGAUAACGUUGCGUAAGCAACGGCCCGAAGGGCGAGGCGCAGCCGAGUCAUCCUCCCGGAUGCACCA
rnacentral:sRNA from 1 species